ensembl:lncRNA
ACUGGAUAUCUGACCAUCACAAACAUCACAACCAGACUCAACAUCUGGACAUCAGUGAAUUCUGUCACACAUGUUCAGACUCUGAACACUGUUGUGGUUCUACUGAAGCUGUGAUCCGAUUGGUCCUCUCUGCUCUGGUGGGCGUGGCUACUGUUGUUAUUCUGGUUUAUGACAUCAGAUCCAGAAGAGCUGAACAGGAUCCAGCACAGAUUCACUCAUCAGGUGGCUCAUUUCUUCCCUAGAAGAUUAUUUGACAACAAACCAUGACAAAUUCUCACACAAAUGCUCAAAAUGUGAGUGUUUGUCAUGAAAAAUGCUUGAUUACCAAAUAUUGCUUUGCUAAUGCUUGAUUAUGUAAUAUAACAUGCUUUUAUUUUAAUGAUUUUUUUAAUUAUCUAAUCUUCUCAUCCAGUUUGAAAGGCUUUCUAUAAGGAUUUAUAUUUUCUGCAGAUAAGACACACUGAUCACAGUUGACUGCUGUGUAUUUACUGUAUGUAUUUGCAUUAAUCAAUAAAGUUUUCUCACUCUCAAGUUCA